rnacentral:rRNA from 1 species
AAACUAACAAGGAUUCCCCUAGUAACGGCGAGUGAAGCGGGAUGAGCUCAAGCUUAAAAUCUCUGUGCCAGUUUGGCAUGGCGAAUUGUAGUCUAUGGAGGCGCUGUCAGUGCGAUUGUUCGGGGUAAGUUCCUUGGAAGAGGACAGCAUCGAGGGUGAUACUCCCGUAUGUACCUGUUCAGUCGCGCGUACGACACGUUUUCUUCGAGUCGCGUUGUUUGGGAAUGCAGCGCAAAGUAGGUGGUAAAUUCCAUCUAAAGCUAAAUAUUGGUGCGAGACCGAUAGCGAACAAGUACCGUGAGGGAAAGAUGAAAAGAACUUUGAAAAGAGAGUUAAAGAGUACCUGAAACUGCUGAAAGGGAACCGAAUCGUUUCCAGUGUCUAUAAUCUGCGGCAUAUUUCAUUGGCGAGUGAGUGCGUAUAGUGUUUUGGAAGUGGUUUUCCGCUCCUGUCGCUGUUGUGCGUUUGCUUGCUGGUGCCCUGUGCUGUGGUGGGACGUCAGAGUCAGUUUGUGUGUUGCGGGAAAUGGUUAUUGGGGAGGUAGGUCAUUUCGGUGGCUAUUAUAUCCUGGUAACUAGUCGUCGUGGCUGAGACUGAGGUGCCUACAAUGUGCUUUCGAGUGUAUGGGAUUCUCGUGUGGCUGUUUGCUUUGAUAGCUUGCUAUGUUGGCGAAUAAGUUGUGCGAUUGAUUCCUGUAUUAACUUGUUGCCGUUCGGGACUUUGACGAAAUGGAGCGAUCCGA